rnacentral:lncRNA from 1 species
CCCAACUCUUGAAUGUUAAAAGGCUAAAAGCCACAGUCACCACUUCAUCAACCUUCCACAAGAUUUCUGCUUAAACCCCCUAUUUUUCUUUUUCUCUUCAUAACCCAUCAAUCUCCUCCAACAAAACCCACUUCCCAGAAUUCAGAAAAACCCAAUUCAGUUCAUCAAGAUCUCUGCUUUUUUUGAAAAUAGUCUUUACUCUUUUGACACGUGGCAC